rnacentral:rRNA from 1 species
UACGUAGGGUGCGAGCGUUAAUCGGAAUUACUGGGCGUAAAGCGUGCGCAGGCGGUUCGUUGUGUCGGUGGUGAAAGCCCCGGGCUCAACCUGGGAAUGGCCAUGGAAACUGGCGAACUGGAGUGUGGCAGAGGGGGGUGGAAUUCCGCGUGUAGCAGUGAAAUGCGUAGAGAUGCGGAGGAACACCGAUGGCGAAGGCAGCCCCCUGGGCUAGCACUGACGCUCAUGCACGAAAGCGUGGGGAGCAAACAGG